rnacentral:lncRNA from 1 species
CGCUGCCCUCGGCUCGGCUCAGCUCGGCGCUGCUGCAGCCGCAGAGCCGCUGGCUGGCGUGCAGCGCGCAGAGCGGGGCUAAAGCGCUGAGAAAAAGCAUGUCUCUGGUUUUUCUUAAGCAUCCUCAAAGACCUCAAAACUCGUCCGGCUCAAACCAGACUCUGGCCCCGUGGCUCCUAUAGAGACGUACAAAGACUGCGAGUGCUACGGCCACUCCAACCGCUGCAGCUACAUCGACUUCCUGAACGUGGUGACCUGCGUGAGCUGCAAGCACAACACGCGGGGCCAGCACUGCCAGCACUGCCGCCUGGGCUUCUACCGCAACAGCUCGGCCGAGCUGGACGACGAGAACGUCUGCAUAGAGUGUAACUGCAACCAGAUCGGCUCCGUGCACGACCGCUGCAACGAGACCGGCUACUGUGAAUGCAAGGAAGGCGCCACGGGACCCAAGUGCGAUGACUGCCUGCCCAACUACUACUGGAGACAGGGCUGUUUCCCCAACGUCUGCGACGACGAGCUUCUGCUCUGCCAGAACGGCGGCACCUGCUACCAGAACCAGCGGUGCCUCUGCCCGGCGGGCUUCAAGGGGGUCCUGUGCCAGCAGCCCCGGUGCGACGCCGACAGGAAGGACUGCGACGCCGCCCCCGGCGCCCGCGCCGGCCUCGGCACCCUCCUCCUCGGCGCGCUGGCCCUCCAGCUGCAGGGCUGGGCGGACCUCUGAAGCCUGCGCCGGAGGCAGCCCGGUCCAGGCACGUCACCGGAGGACCCGGGGGGACUAA